rnacentral:tRNA from 1 species
GCCCCCGUAGCUCAGGCGGAUAGAGCAAGGGAUUCCUAAUCCCUAUGCCGGGAGUUCAAGUCUCCCCGGGGGUA